AACGAACGCUGGCGGCAUGCUUAACACAUGCAAGUCGAACGCUCUGUCGGGCUUCGGUCCGGCAGGGAGUGGCGCACGGGUGAGUAGCGCGUGGGAACCUGCCCUGGAGUGGGGGAUAACCGAGGGAAACUUCGGCUAAUACCGCAUGCGCCCCGGGAAACCGGGGGAAAGAUUUAUCGCUCUAGGAGGGGCCCGCGUCGGAUUAGCUUGUUGGUGGGGUAACGGCCUACCAAGGCACCGAUCCGUAGCUGGUCUGAGAGGAUGAUCAGC
rnacentral:rRNA from 1 species